GGUUAAGCGACUAAGCGUACACGGUGGAUGCCCUGGCAGUCAGAGGCGAUGAAGGACGUGCUAAUCUGCGAAAAGCGUCGGUAAGGUGAUAUGAACCGUUAUAACCGGCGAUGUCCGAAUGGGGAAACCCAGUGCAAUUCGUUGCACUAUCGUUAACUGAAUACAUAGGUUAACGAGGCGAACCGGGGGAACUGAAACAUCUAAGUACCCCGAGGAAAAGAAAUCAACCGAGAUUCCCCCAGUAGCGGCGAGCGAACGGGGAGCAGCCCAGAGUCUGAAUCAGCUUGUGUGUUAGUGGAACGGUCUGGAAAGUCCGACGGUACAGGGUGAUAGUCCCGUACACCAAAAUGCACAGGUUGUGAACUCGAAGAGUAGGGCGGGACACGUGGUAUCCUGUCUGAAUAUGGGGGGACCAUCCUCCAAGGCUAAAUACUCCUGACUGACCGAUAGUGAACCAGUACCGUGAGGGAAAGGCGAAAAGAACCCCGGCGAGGGGAGUGAAAAAGAACCUGAAACCGUGUACGUACAAGCAGUGGGAGCACCUUCGGGUGUGACUGCGUACCUUUUGUAUAAUGGGUCAGCGACUUAUAUUCUGUAGCAAGGUUAACCGUAUAGGGGAGCCGCAGGGAAACCGAGUCUUAACUGGGCGUUAAGUUGCAGGGUAUAGACCCGAAACCCGGUGAUCUAGCCAUGGGCAGGUUGAAGGUUGGGUAACACUAACUGGAGGACCGAACCGACUAAUGUUGAAAAAUUAGCGGAUGACUUGUGGCUGGGGGUGAAAGGCCAAUCAAACCGGGAGAUAGCUGGUUCUCCCCGAAAGCUAUUUAGGUAGCGCCUCGUGAACUCAUCUUCGGGGGUAGAGCACUGUUUCGGCUAGGGGGUCAUCCCGACUUACCAACCCGAUGCAAACUACGAAUACCGAAGAAUGUUAUCACGGGAGACACACGGCGGGUGCUAACGUCCGUCGUGAAGAGGGAAACAACCCAGACCGCCAGCUAAGGUCCCAAAGUCAUGGUUAAGUGGGAAACGAUGUGGGAAGGCACAGACAGCCAGGAUGUUGGCUUAGAAGCAGCCAUCAUUUAAAGAAAGCGUAAUAGCUCACUGGUCGAGUCGGCCUGCGCGGAAGAUGUAACGGGGCUAAACCAUGCACCGAAGCUGCGGCAGCGACACUAUGUGUUGUUGGGUAGGGGAGCGUUCUGUAAGCCUGCGAAGGUGACCUGUGAGGGUUGCUGGAGGUAUCAGAAGUGCGAAUGCUGACAUAAGUAACGAUAAAGCGGGUGAAAAGCCCGCUCGCCGGAAGACCAAGGGUUCCUGUCCAACGUUAAUCGGGGCAGGGUGAGUCGACCCCUAAGGCGAGGCCGAAAGGCGUAGUCGAUGGGAAACAGGUUAAUAUUCCUGUACUUGGUGUUACUGCGAAGGGGGGACGGAGAAGGCUAUGUUAGCCGGGCGACGGUUGUCCCGGUUUAAGCAUGUAGGCUGAUUGUCCAGGCAAAUCCGGAUAAUCAAGGCUGAGGUGUGAUGACGAGGCACUACGGUGCUGAAGUAACAAAUGCCCUGCUUCCAGGAAAAGCCUCUAAGCAUCAGGUAACAUCAAAUCGUACCCCAAACCGACACAGGUGGUCAGGUAGAGAAUACCAAGGCGCUUGAGAGAACUCGGGUGAAGGAACUAGGCAAAAUGGUGCCGUAACUUCGGGAGAAGGCACGCUGGUGUGUAGGUGAAGCCCCUGCGGGUGGAGCUGAGACCAGUCGAAGAUACCAGCUGGCUGCAACUGUUUAUUAAAAACACAGCACUGUGCAAACACGAAAGUGGACGUAUACGGUGUGACGCCUGCCCGGUGCCGGAAGGUUAAUUGAUGGGGUUAUCCGUAAGGAGAAGCUCUUGAUCGAAGCCCCGGUAAACGGCGGCCGUAACUAUAACGGUCCUAAGGUAGCGAAAUUCCUUGUCGGGUAAGUUCCGACCUGCACGAAUGGCGUAAUGAUGGCCAGGCUGUCUCCACCCGAGACUCAGUGAAAUUGAACUCGCUGUGAAGAUGCAGUGUACCCGCGGCAAGACGGAAAGACCCCGUGAACCUUUACUAUAGCUUGACACUGAACAUUGAGCCUUGAUGUGUAGGAUAGGUGGGAGGCUUUGAAGCGUGGACGCCAGUCUGCGUGGAGCCAACCUUGAAAUACCACCCUUUAAUGUUUGAUGUUCUAACGUUGGCCCCUGACCGGGGUUGCGGACAGUGUCUGGUGGGUAGUUUGACUGGGGCGGUCUCCUCCCAAAGCGUAACGGAGGAGCACGAAGGUUAGCUAAUCCUGGUCGGACAUCAGGAGGUUAGUGCAAUGGCAUAAGCUAGCUUGACUGCGAGCGUGACGGCGCGAGCAGGUGCGAAAGCAGGUCAUAGUGAUCCGGUGGUUCUGAAUGGAAGGGCCAUCGCUCAACGGAUAAAAGGUACUCCGGGGAUAACAGGCUGAUACCGCCCAAGAGUUCAUAUCGACGGCGGUGUUUGGCACCUCGAUGUCGGCUCAUCACAUCCUGGGGCUGAAGUAGGUCCCAAGGGUAUGGCUGUUCGCCAUUUAAAGUGGUACGCGAGCUGGGUUUAGAACGUCGUGAGACAGUUCGGUCCCUAUCUGCCGUGGGCGCUGGAGAAUUGAGGGGGGCUGCUCCUAGUACGAGAGGACCGGAGUGGACGCAUCACUGGUGUUCGGGUUGUCAUGCCAAUGGCACUGCCCGGUAGCUAAAUGCGGAAGAGAUAAGUGCUGAAAGCAUCUAAGCACGAAACUUGCCCCGAGAUGAGUUCUCCCUGAGACUUUAAGUCUCCUGAAGGAACGUUAAAGACGAUGACGUUGAUAGGCCGGGUGUGUAAGCGCAGCGAUGCGUUGAGCUAACCGGUACUAAUGAACCGUGAGGCUUAACCUU
rnacentral:rRNA from 1 species